rnacentral:rRNA from 2 species
ACGGGUGAGUAAUGCCUAGGAAUCUGCCUGGUAGUGGGGGAUAACGCUCGGAAACGGACGCUAAUACCGCAUACGUCCUACGGGAGAAAGCAGGGGACCUUCGGGCCUUGCGCUAUCAGAUGAGCCUAGGUCGGAUUAGCUAGUUGGUGAGGUAAUGGCUCACCAAGGCGACGAUCCGUAACUGGUCUGAGAGGAUGAUCAGUCACACUGGAACUGAGACACGGUCCAGACUCCUACGGGAGGCAGCAGUGGGGAAUAUUGGACAAUGGGCGAAAGCCUGAUCCAGCCAUGCCGCGUGUGUGAAGAAGGUCUUCGGAUUGUAAAGCACUUUAAGUUGGGAGGAAGGGCAGUUACCUAAUACGUAUCUGUUUUGACGUUACCGACAGAAUAAGCACCGGCUAACUCUGUGCCAGCAGCCGCGGUAAUACAGAGGGUGCAAGCGUUAAUCGGAAUUACUGGGCGUAAAGCGCGCGUAGGUGGUUUGUUAAGUUGGAUGUGAAAUCCCCGGGCUCAACCUGGGAACUGCAUUCAAAACUGACAAGCUAGAGUAUGGUAGAGGGUGGUGGAAUUUCCUGUGUAGCGGUG